ACAAUGUCACCAAACCACUCUGUGCCAUCUAACCAGGUAGGAAGUGGACUGCCAAGGGGAGAGGGCUGGGUUUAUGAUUCUUUGGAAUUCGUGCUGCACCUUAUGAGAACGGCACAGUCUGUGCUCGUGGGCUGAAAUCCAGGUUGAUAUUUUUCAGAGACUUAACCUGCCUACUUCUGGGAGUGCCCCAUCUGGCCAGCAUCCAGCCAGACAGAGGUGCGGCCUCAGACGUCAGUAGAAGCCGAGCUGAUGGGAGGGUGAGGAGGGCUAGAUGAAAAGAUGCUGGCGGCAGCAAAGAGGACUGUCACCUGAAUUCCAAACCUCCAAUUGGCUCGGCAUCUACCAGAAUAUCGGAGGACUGAAGCCGGCAGUGAGAGAAGACCUUCGCUCCGGCUAAUGCGGCAAGGGAUGGAUAAAGGCAAAAUCCUCUGAGGCCCUGAACCAAUGCACCGCACUGUAAGCUAAGUCUUUGUGGCCAGGAAAUAAGAGGUAAAAAACAAAUAGUUUCCAUUAUGUCAACAAUCUCCUGCUUGGAUUGAUCUACCCAAGGUCUUCAUGGGCUGUAAAGAUUAGAUGGGGUUGAAAAAGGAGGAUUUUGCUCUAUGCAAAACCUCUCCUGCUUAUUUGUCUAGGUAAGGAUUUAAGGGCCUUUAAAGAAAAUAGAUGAGGAGGGAAAAGAGAGAUUUGCUGGAUACUGAGACAUCUCCUGUGCCUGAGUCCCCACCUCGUGUCUCCAAGACCUUGUGUUACAGAACAGAGAGUUGUUGAGGUGCCAGAGGAGAAACAUGCUUCGUGCGAAAAUUCUCCAGAUUUCACUUCCCUCCCCAAAGUGGUAUUCAAGGACGUCAAAAAGAUGUUUGAGGGGAAAAGGGAGAAAUUUGCUUUCUCUAUCGAAUGUCUUCUUUGCCUUAAGAGAGAACAUUGGCUGUGCCAAAGGAGAAAUAUGCUUCAAGAAAAUAAUGUCCAGUUUUAUUUCUCUAUCUAAGGGGUCUUCAAGGCCAGCAAAGAUAAUUUUGGAGGUGAAAAAGAGGAAAUUUGCUUUACACAACACAUCUCCUGCUUCCUUUCUUCUUCCUUGAGUCUUUGAGGGCUGAAAAGGCAAUAUAUGGGUUGAAAAGAAGGAGUAUCUUGGUUCGUGGAAAACCUCUCCUGCUUAUUUGAGGUCUUCAAGGCUUCAAAAGA